CCCAUAGUUUGGGAGUUGCCAGAGAAAAUGGCGUUGGGUGGGUUGAUAUUGGAACCGGUCAAUAAGGAUUUUUGGGUUAAAUUGGGUUCAGUAUGAAGUAAUCAAGCUUUAAAACAACAUUCUUUUAUCAGAGCACUGCAUCCUGCUAUUCAAAUGCAACUUGAUUUUCUGAAUAUAUGGAUUCCUUACGAGAAUUGAGUAAUUUUGUUCAUUGCUAUAUGGUUAUUGAAACACUGUUCUAUCCUUGUGAUUAUUCAGGUCAUUACAUUUGCUCUCUUAAUGAUACUAAGAUGCAGCCAUCAUUUGCCAAAAUAAUUGUUCAUACUCUUCUUGAAACUUCGAGUGCUAUACAAACUCUUGAGAUAUCAUAAAACAAUGCUGACUAAAGACAGUGGAUAAAAGAUUUGCAUGCUUUUCAUCACCAGUGGAAUCAACUAUUUCUUUGCACUCCUUGACCCUUCUUAACCUCAGGGGUACCAAUUUGAACAAGAGUGAUAUCGAAGAUCUAUGCAAAAUCUUAGUUAAGAUGCCUAGCUUAGGAGAGUUAGAUAUAGGUGACAAUUCUAUCAUGGACGAAGGAAUCAGAUUCCUUAUUUGUUUUAUUUCACCGACUCUUCGGAAGGCAAAAUCACUUUCUAGGUUAAGAGCAGAGAACUGUGACUUGACCAAUAUCGGUGUAACUGAACUUCUUGAAUGCCUUCCAUCUGUGAGUGAACCACUUAAUCUGCUGUCUAUAGCGGAUAAUCAUCUUGGGAGUCUUUACUGUUCCUUCUGCUGCUCUUGGAGGUCUGCAUGCUUCCCUGCACGGAAAUUCAGAUGAUAAGGAUGUCCGCCUUUCGACACCGUUUGUACAACAAUUAUGGUCUUCGUGUUUAGGCUAUCCUAAAGCUAUGGAACGAUGUAUUCUCUACUCCGACGGGACUCUCUUAUCUAGUGUCGUUCUCCACCAAAAUUACACGUGGUUACAGAUCGGUCAAUGUCCAACACUCUUACCCUUCAGGAGGCGUGCUCAGGAUGAGAAAAGCACAUUUACCAAGAGAAUGGCAAAAGGUGAUUCUCAAGAGAUCAGAUUAUUUUGCAAGAAGAAAAUACAAGCUAAUGAGCUUAAUGAACUCAUGCCUGUCUUGGGAGAAGUUCUAGAAGAUGUUCAGAUCGGAACUGGCAUUGAGAUAAGUUGGCCUUGUGCCGAUAUAAUAUUCUUCUGUUGUUUACUGGAUCGAAUAAACAAGCAAUUAUGCUUCUCCCUGAGAUCAAAGUUGCAGUUUCUGCGGUGUUUAAUGUUCGCAGUCCUCCAUUUUCUAACACUUAGAUCAUAAAAAUCAGACAUAUUUUUCUAUGGAUCCAAAGUUGGUUUGGAUUCCAGGUAGACUUGUUAUUUUUCUUUGUUUAAUUCUCAAAUUAGUACCAAGUAUUGUUUUCUUGCAAGUUUUUUUUCUUUUGACUAUUAUAUUAAAUGGUUGUCAAGAUUUUACAGUUCAUUAAUUUGGUUUUGUUUUUUUUCCUUUUGGGGGAUUAGAAAGGAAAUGUCAUUCUUUUGCUUGCAAAUAUGCAUGCACGCUUGAGCCCGAAGUCAUCCUCUGAAACAAUGGUAUCCAUACGUGAAUAUUUUUCUUUGCCUAUCUUAUUUCCUCCAUAUAGAAUAAUAUUCUGAUAUGUUCCUUUUAGCUCGAUGACAUAGCAGUAGAUGAAUUAUUGGCGAAAACAUUUGAAAACUAUCUGACCUGGUGCAAAUAAAAAAGCAACAUAUGGUAGACCUGCAUAAUAUUUCAUUUCUCAAAUAUUUGCAAAAUAACUAAAAGUCAGCUGAGGUGGAUGUUUAGGAAGUAUUGUAUCAACAAUGCUAUGCCUCUUUGUACUGCAUCCGCGUGUUACCCUCUGUGAAACAGGAGAUCCAGCAACAUAAACUUCUUUACAUAGCUCUUUAUCUUCUUAUAUGGGGAGAAGCAUCAAAUUUACGACUUAUGCCAGAAUGUUUAUGCUACAUAUUUCAUCAUGUAAGUCUUUGCCCUUCAUAUUUUUGGUGUGCUCCAUGUACUAGUGAUUCCAAACCAUGGUUAUAUUGGUAUUUUCUUCCAAUCAUUUAUGUACAACAGAUCUAUACUUAAGUUGCCUUGUCUGUCCAGCUAAAGUUGCUUUGGUGGGCAAUAAAUCUACCAUGUAAUGUAGUUUUUUUUCAGUUCUAUCUUGUUUUAUAGAUUGAAGUGUAUUUACAUGAAUAUAAUACUAUGAAUGUUCACUAGCUUUGGCUUAAUCUUUCCUGGUAUUGCAUAUAGCAUGCUCCAAGUGACACAUCUCAACAGAAGUGGCUAGGAAAGACAUUUUGUUGAGGUCAGAUCAUUUUGGCAUAUCUUCAGAAGCUUUGAUAGGAUGUGGACACUCCUUGUGCUUGGGCUUCAGCUCUGGUUCUUACAAUAAUAGUUAUGGAGUGGGUUCUUUCAUAAUUAAUCUUAUUCUUAUUCUGAAGGAACUUUUGGGAACAUUUUUCUUGUUUAUUUUAUUUCAGGUUCUUGGCGUGGCAUGGAUUAGAAAGUUCUGUUCAGUUAUUUGAUCCAAUAAUUUUUCAGGAUGUGCUAAGUAUUUUCAUAACCAAUGCAGUACUUCGAGUUAUUCAGGGUUAACUUGGCUUUUGUUGUUUCUUAUAUACUGAUCUACUCAGUCCCAUAAUAUAAGUGAUUAUGUCAAAAAUUGAGGAAGUAGCAAACGUACAAGUCAUGUCACAGAACUUGGGGGAAUACAAAAGUUGGUAGGUGGGAAAUAAAGUACUACAAAAGUUGUAGGUGGGGAAUAAAUUAGUACAAAAAUUGAUAAAUUAGGAAUAAAGUACUGCCUCGGUAUCACAAAAUCUCUUAUAUUUUGGGAUGGAGUAGCUAUAUUCAUUAAUUUCUUGUGCACUAUCUUCUCUUCUCAGUAAUAUGCUUCUUUUGUGCAGUUGUUCUUUAUAUUGCUUUCUCACGGAGAACCAAGAGAACGAUUAGAUUUAGUCAGAAGUUAAGAUUUGUUGUAUAACUUUCAAUUGUUGUGGUAUGGGCCAAUGUUCUUCCCAUUUUUUACGCUAGUUCCCAAAAUUACAUGUCUUGUUCAACUAGAUGACCUAAAAUUUUUCUGGGGAUGUUCUGCUUGUCAAAAUAUGUGGUAGUUGUUGCAUUGUACCUUAGAAGCAACGUGAUUGGGAUGGCAUUGUUUCUUGUUCCUGCUUUAUGCAGCUUUUUAGGGACAUCUACUUGGAGAAUUUGCAAUAUGUUAGCCUGGUGGUGCCAGCCUGAGUUAUAUGUUGGAUGAGGAAUGCAAGAAGACCAAGUACCUUUACUAAAAUAUACAAUAUUAUGGACAAUUCUCUUGUCAUGCAAAAUUUUAGCUACUACUUUCAGAUUAAGCUUCUUGUGGAGCUCACAUGAGAAAUUAUGAAGGUCAAUGUGAAUAAAUAUGAGUGGCAUGAAUUCUUUCCUCAAGUCAAAAGCAACGUUGGACCUAUUCUUGCUGUAUGGGCCCCUAUAAUUCUUGUCUAUUUUAUGGACACACAGAUGUGGUAUUCUGUAUUUGUACCAUCUUUGGUGGUAUCCGUAUGUGUGGUAUUAUUCAUCAUCUUGGUGAGGUGAUCAGAAUUUAGGUAAAGCUGAAAGACAUGAUCCGACAAAGUUUGCUCUUGUUUGGAACCGGAUAAUAAAUAGCUUCCGCUCAGAGGAUCUAAUAAAUAAUAUAGAGAUGGACUUGAUGACAAUGCCCAUGUCACUAGAGCAUAAGUCUGGUUCUAUUCGUUGGCCCAUGCUUUUACUCGCCAAAAAGUUUUCAGAAGCAGUGGAUAUGGUAGCCAAUUUUACUAGAAAAAGUGUGCAACUCUUUAGGAAAAUUAAGAAGGAUAAUUACAUGCUUUGUGCGAUCAACGAUUUCUAUGAAUUGACAAAAGUUUUUGCAGUGCAUGUCCCUGUGAAUGUUAUUACGAUGUUCUACAGAUUUAUUCAAAUACUGAAAGCGAGAAGAGUAUUCAGAAUGCAAGUCUAUUGGAUGAUUUUAGGAUGGAUCAUUUGUCUUCACUGGUUGACAAGUUUGACUGAUUGGCACAGCUUCUGGAGGUUGCGCUCCCUUUACAUGGAAGGCCAAGAAAGCAAACUGCUAUAUCAAGAUCUACUAUAGCGGCCGAACUUCGAGCACUUGUCUCUCUGCUAAAGCUGAGAUUAUAUGGCUUUGUUGGUUAUUGGCUGAUUUUGUUGCGUCCUGAUGAUUGUACACCUCUUGAUGAUCCCUCUCGAUAUUGCCAUAUUGUGGGAACUCAUGUAUCCCUCCCGAUAUGGCCUCAUAUGCCGUUCAUAUUUUAAGUCACUUUGUCAAUGAUCCUACUUCAGUUUUGUUAAGGUCAUCUCCUUCGUGUGCUAAGGUAUUUAAGGGGUACACCUUCUCGAGGAUUGUUUUAUGCUCGAAGUAGUUCCCCUAAGCUCCAUGCUUACUCAGAUGCCACUUGGGCAAGUUAUCCUACAAAACGUGGCUAUCGUAUUAUUCUUGGUUCCUCUCCCCUUACAUGGAAGGCGGCCACGAAGCAAACUACUAUAUCAAGAUCUACUACAGGGGUCGAACUUCAAGCACUUGUCUCUCUGUCACAACUGAGAUCAUAUGGUUUGGUUGGUUAUUGGCUAAUUUUGCUCCAUUUGCAGCUUCGUCCUGAUGAUGGCACACCUCUUGAGGAUCCCUCUCGAUGUCGCCAUAUUGUGGGAAGUCUUGUCUAUCUCAUUGUCACAAGGCGUGAACUUGCCAUGCUGUUCAUAUUUUAGCUUCGUCCUGAUGAUGGUAGACCUCUUGGGGAUCCUUCUCGAUAUCACCAUAUUGUGGGAAGUCUUGUCUAUCUCACUAUCACAAGGCUUGACCUUGCUCAUGCCGUUCAUGUUUUAAGUCAAUUCGCCAGUGGUCCUACCUUAGUUCAUUAAGGUCAUCUCCUUCGUGUGUUGAGAGCAGGGCUAUCGUAUUAUUGUUGGUUCCUCUCCCCUUACAUGGAAGACCAAGAAGCAAACUGCUAUAUGAAGAUCUAGUACAUAGGCCAAACUCCGAGCACUUGCCUCACUACCACAGCUGAGAUUAUAUGGUUUCUUUGGUUAUUGGCUGAUUUUGGUAUGACUUGUGACUCCCCUAGACCUCUUCUAUGUGAUAGUAUCGGCGCUAUACAGAUUGCCAAUGAACCUGUGAGGCAUGGCCUCACGAAGCAUAUUGGUGUUGAUGUCUCGUUUACCCGCUCUCUUUGUCAUCAGAAAAUAAUGGCUCUCCUGUAUGUGCCAUCAAGAUCACAAGUUGUAGAUUCCUUCACUAAAGCAUAAAGUCGAGAGCAGCACCGACUUCAUUUGCUCAAACUCAACGCUUCAGAACUGCCUUGAGUUUGAAGGGGGUGUCACAACACAUACUCUCUAGGCCCAUAUUGGCCCAUAAUUAUGGCUAUAUAUAGUACACAGUCUAAUGACUACUUACAUUCCUAAUCCCAAGUGCACAAACAUACAAGAACUUCAAUAUGAAGUGACAAUUUUACUCCAAGAUAUUAUUGAUAUUCUGGUCCAAGAUAUGUUUGUAGACGCUCAAAGGUGAAACGCCCUACCUUCUGCUUAAUACUAAAGAAAAGGUUGUGGAAGCAUCGUUAAAUUUAGAGGCUCCGCGACGCAUUUCAUUUUUUGCCACAUCCCUUUUUAUGGAUAUGCCACUUGCUCCCAAGAUGAAUGGAAAUUUUUUUUGGAACGGCUUGGUCCAAAGGUCACCCAAGAAGAAAUCAAAUAUAGGGCUUCUUUCCAUGGUCAAACAUUAAGCUGAACUGUCCAAGGGCUUUCUUAGACAAGACAAUUUACUACUUAAAGGGUGGCGGAAAGGGCGGAUGCUGGUGCUGGCCACGUUGCCACUUUUUUGUCAGCCGUUGGAUCCGGCGUCGACGGAUGGAUGCGCUGAUAGCCUCUUGGCGGCACCAUGCGUCGGGUCACUAUGCGGUGUGCGUCGUGCCACGCGGCACGCGUUUCGCUCGACCGCCGUUUUGGUUGCUCCGCGUCCUUCGCCGCUCCGGCGGUGCUCCUAACGGCGGCGGCGGCCCUUCGCCUACUCGACGGACUCGCAGACGGCAGCCGCUGCGGGCUCCCCGCACGGCGGCCAGCGGGUGUUGUACCGUCUCGCUCUGCUCUGGACUCUUCGCCCUCGCCUUCGACACCACCACUGCCGCCAGGUCUGAUUUCGUCCGCUUUGACGACGUCGGCGUCUCCAGGACAUCCAAGGAAGCCGGCAGAUCAGACGACGACAGGAUGGAAUUAUGAUUUGUUAUGUACAUGGUUGAUAUGAGAAGAGCAAACAAUUGUGAGGUCAUGCUCACUAAAAUAAAAAUGCCAAUUCCUGAUAUGAUUCUAAAGGAGUGUCCUGUUGGGGCUUGUAGACUAAACCUCUCGUUCCUUGAUCUAUCGAACAACUCAUUAUCUGGUCUGCCUACUGAACUAGGCCAUACAGAUGUUUUUUUUUCAUGGGUGUAUAUACUUGGUACUCUAUGCAAGUGUGCUACUAUCUUCAUGAGCACUCCAAAUUAUGGACACUAAAAUAUGCUUUGCCAUGCAAUAUUAAACGUGCAAUGACAACCCUAACAAAGCUUCUGCUUACUGGCAAUCCUAUGACGACACUACGGAGGUUCUUGGUUUCUGGACCAACAACAACAUUGUUAAAGUAUUUGCGCAGUAGGCUUUCAUCUGACAAAGGAUCUGGAAGCGCUCCAGCAAAAGAAGCUCAAAUUGCUGCACCAAGACGAUUAUCUUUAUCUUCUAAGAAAAAGACGUGGUCUUGCUGUACGCCUGAGCCCAACUGUUGGAUGAUGAAUGCUAAUGAAGCUGGAGCGGAGCUAGAGUAUUUUAUUGGGGUUAGACGACCCUGAUGACCUUCAACGAAAUACAUGUUUAAAUGAUAAGUUCGAGUUCCAGAGGAGUCAAUCAUUUCGACUGAAUCCGGAGGCACUCUUGGUGUUUUCUAU